AGCAGUAGGGAAUAUUGCGCAAUGGGGGAAACCCUGACGCAGCAACGCCGCGUGGAGGAUGACACUUUUCGGAGCGUAAACUCCUUUUCUUAGGGAAGAAUUCUGACGGUACCUAAGGAAUAAGCACCGGCUAACUCCGUGCCAGCAGCCGCGGUAAUACGGAGGGUGCAAGCGUUACUCGGAAUCACUGGGCGUAAAGGGCGCGUAGGCGGAUUAUCAAGUCUCUUGUGAAAUCUAAUGGCUUAACCAUUAAACUGCUUGGGAAACUGAUAGUCUAGAGUGAGGGAGAGGUAGAUGGAAUUGGUGGUGUAGGGGUAAAAUCCGUAGAUAUCACCAAGAAUACCCAUUGCGAAGGCGAUCUGCUGGAACUCAACUGACGCUAAGGCGCGAAAGCGUGGGGAGCAAACAGGAUUAGAUACCCUGGUAGUCCACGCCCUAAACGAUGUACACUAGUUGUUGGGAUGCUAGUCAUCUCAGUAAUGCAGCUAACGCAUUAAGUGUACCGCCUGGGGAGUACGGUCGCAAGAUUAAAACUCAAAGGAAUAGACGGGGACCCGCACAAGCGGUGGAGCAUGUGGUUUAAUUCGAAGAUACGCGAAGAACCUUACCUGGGCUUGAUAUCCUAAGAACCUUAUAGAGAUAUGAGGGUGCUAGCUUGCUAGAACUUAGAGACAGGUGCUGCACGGCUGUCGUCAGCUCGUGUCGUGAGAUGUUGGGUUAAGUCCCGCAACGAGCGCAACCCACGUAUUUAGUUGCUAACGGUUCGGCCGAGCACUCUAAAUAGACUGCCUUCGUAAGGAGGAGGAAGGUGUGGACGACGUCAAGUCAUCAUGGCCCUUAUGCCCAGGGCGACACACGUGCUACAAUGGCAUAUACAAUGAGACGCAAUACCGCGAGGUGGAGCAAAUCUAUAAAAUAUGUCCCAGUUCGGAUUGUUCUCUGCAACUCGAGAGCAUGAAGCCGGAAUCGCUAGUAAUCGUAGAUCAGCCAUGCUACGGUGAAUACGUUCCCGGGUCUUGUACUCACCGCCCGUCACACCAUGGGAGUUGAUUUCACUCGAAGCCGGAAUACUAAACUAGUUACCGUCCACAGUGGAAUCAGCGACUGGGGUGAAGUCGUAACAAGGUAACCGUAGGAGAACCUGCGGUUGGAUCACCUCCUUUCUA
rnacentral:rRNA from 1 species